GAUGAACGCUAGCGGGAGGCCUAACACAUGCAAGCCGAGCGGUAGAGAUCUUUCGGGAUCUUGAGAGCGGCGUACGGGUGCGGAACACGUGUGCAACCUGCCUUUAUCUGGGGGAUAGCCUUUCGAAAGGAAGAUUAAUACCCCAUAAUAUGUUGGAUGGCAUCAUUCGACAUUGAAAACUCCGGUGGAUAGAGAUGGGCACGCGCAAGAUUAGAUAGUUGGUGAGGUAACGGCUCACCAAGUCUGCGAUCUUUAGGGGGCCUGAGAGGGUGAUCCCCCACACUGGUACUGAGACACGGACCAGACUCCUACGGGAGGCAGCAGUGAGGAAUAUUGGACAAUGGGUGAGAGCCUGAUCCAGCCAUCCCGCGUGAAGGACGACGGCCCUAUGGGUUGUAGACUUCUUUUGUAUAGGGAUAAACCUACUCUCGUGAGAGUAGCUGAAGGUACUAUACGAAUAAGCACCGGCUAACUCCGUGCCAGCAGCCGCGGUAAUACGGAGGGUGCAAGCGUUAUCCGGAUUUAUUGGGUUUAAAGGGUCCGUAGGCGGAUCUGUAAGUCAGUGGUGAAAUCUCACAGCUUAACUGUGAAACUGCCAUUGAUACUGCAGGUCUUGAGUGUUGUUGAAGUAGCUGGAAUAAGUAGUGUAGCGGUGAAAUGCAUAGAUAUUACUUAGAACACCAAUUGCGAAGGCAGGUUACUAAGCAACAACUGACGCUGAUGGACGAAAGCGUGGGGAGCGAACAGGAUUAGAUACCCUGGUAGUCCACGCCGUAAACGAUGCUAACUCGUUUUUGGGCUUUCGGGUUCAGAGACUAAGCGAAAGUGAUAAGUUAGCCACCUGGGGAGUACGAACGCAAGUUUGAAACUCAAAGGAAUUGACGGGGGCCCGCACAAGCGGUGGAUUAUGUGGUUUAAUUCGAUGAUACGCGAGGAACCUUACCAAGGCUUAAAUGGGAAAUGACAGGUUUAGAAAUAGACUUUUCUUCGGACAUUUUUCAAGGUGCUGCAUGGUUGUCGUCAGCUCGUGCCGUGAGGUGUUAGGUUAAGUCCUGCAACGAGCGCAACCCCUGUCACUAGUUGCCAUCAUUAAGUUGGGGACUCUAGUGAGACUGCCUACGCAAGUAGAGAGGAAGGUGGGGAUGACGUCAAAUCAUCACGGCCCUUACGCCUUGGGCCACACACGUAAUACAAUGGCCGGUACAGAGGGCAGCUACACAGCGAUGUGAUGCAAAUCUCGAAAGCCGGUCUCAGUUCGGAUUGGAGUCUGCAACUCGACUCUAUGAAGCUGGAAUCGCUAGUAAUCGCGCAUCAGCCAUGGCGCGGUGAAUACGUUCCCGGGCCU
rnacentral:rRNA from 1 species